CGGUAGGAGGUCAGUCCGGUAGAGCCAACCAACAGCUGUCCCUACUGCCCCGAGGUGCACGGACUGCGGGCCCUGUCCCACCGCCUUGGGUCCCUCCUGGUCCCGCUCUCCUGGGCCCUAUGGCCUUAGACAUCUCUUAGCCUGCCUCUUCCCUGUGAACCCUGACUUGGUCUGACCCCUGACCCUUAGGCAUCCCCUCCUGCCGCCCCACGGAGUGUGACCAUUGCCUGCAUCAGAGGCCCAAAUCCUAUUCCUCCUCUCUCUCUCCCGGGACCCAGGAGGGUGUCUCUGGAGGAGUCAGACAUUUUCACCUUACUGAGACCCUGUUGCUACAGAAAUAUUCAAAAUUAUCUCUUACCAGGUUGAAGCCGGUUUUCCUCCUCUAGAGAAACUGCAACUAAAAGUGGACCCUCUCAGCCCUUAGACUUUCUGAUCCAGGCACAGUUUGUACAAACUCCAGGACCAAAGCGAUGUGGUUCUCUCGACUGUGUUUCCUUUAACAGGUUUGAGUCAGUGUCCAGUGCCAUCUUCUGGACAUGUAAGCACACGAAUGACCUCCUCUCUCUGAGAACUGGGAUCUGAGCACAGAAUCAGUGUUCAAAUCCGCCCUCCAAAGACCGUGGGUCAGCACCAGAGAGCAGCUGAAGGUGUGCCUGCAAGGCUCUCCUGGCUCAGGAAACAGUUCCUCUCUCUCUUUUGGCAAAGAAAGCCAACUAAACAAGUCUAGGUCAAGAUUGCGGGGAAAAUGAAGCUGGAACUAUUCACUCAUCUUCUGAUGCAUGCGCUGGGUGUGACACGUGGUUGCAAAAUAGGAAGCGUCCAUACGCACGCGCACUGUGUCAGAUACUUCACCGAAGAAGAGUCCUGCAUGCCCACUGUGUCAAUUACUUCCCUCAUUGCUAUGAACAAACACUUGACAAAAAGCGACAGCAGGAUGAAAAAGGACUCAGCAUCGACUAGACUGAGGCCAGGCUCUGAGAAGGAUUUGGCUUCUACAAGUUGCUGCAGGAACGACAGGCUCCCAUAAAGCGCAGACAUGGGCAUCUUGGCUUCCAGAUCCCAAGUUGACCUGGGAUUUUUCAGCUCCAUCUGCAGGCCACACUCGCUCAGCAAUCCAGAUGCCUUCCUAUUUAGACCUAGCAGACCUUGCUUCUGAGGCCGUCAUAAGUACGGAGAUGCUCAUGACAGGUUCAGGUCCAACCUGCCUGCUCCUCAGACACAGAAGGCAACCACAGGUUACCUGGUUCCUCUCCUUGUGGAAACUUUCUUCUAGAAAGUUCUUCCACUUCCUGCUUUCAUCUCCCCCUCCCUGGAUGCCAGCCCCAUGGGGGAUUCUUACCAGCUCUCGUUGGUGGAGGAGGAGCCUCUUCUCCACAGACUGGGCCAGCAGACUGAGUUGGGUAUCACUCAGCACUGAUGGAAAGACACGUGAGGAAACAGAAUGACAGAUUCAGUAUUCGCCUCUCACCAUGAACUAGGAAGCCAACGAGAGGAGAACUCUGGGACAGAGCAAUGUUCCCCAUUGGACUUCAGGUCAAGCUCACUCCCCUAGAAAGGACAUCUGCCCUGGAACUGUGCUCUAGACUCCUAAGGACAUGACCCAGAGCCUGAAAAUCUAAGGGCUAAGGCAGGAAUCAUCUUCCACCAAGGCUGUGUUGGGAGCUUGGUGACUGCUCACUUUCUACACAUUGGCCUCCAUCUGUGGUACAAGGACUAUUAUCAUUCUAGCCUGGCUGACCUUAGAGAGAAGGAGGAUUGGGAAUGGUCAUGAGAACUCAAGAGCUCUGGGGAGGUGGCAUCUAAAGCAGCCCUCUGAUAGCCAGAACCGGGACUCUCCUACUUUCCCCAGAUCUUACCCAUUAGGGCCUGAAGAAGAUAAAGAAUGAGGUCCUUUAGGAUAUCCUGUGAGUCCUUUCGCAGCUCAUAGAGGAUCAUACCACCUGGGCCAUCCAUGUGCCCCAACUGAUCCAACUCCAGCUAGAGGAGACAGGUGUUCUGUUAGCAUCACCACACUGCUGGGUCCAGUUGACUUUAUAUAUGCUGGACCACUCCUCUGCCAUGAAGACACAGCCUGGCUCCCUAUUAUCUCCAUUUUUCUCUGUUAUAUCACGGGGUCUCAUGCUGUUGUCCACACCAGCUCUAAACCUGCUAUGUAGCCCAGGAAGGCCUUGAACUUGUAACCUUCCUGAAAGUAGGUUCAGCCUACCAAUCAGGCUCAAAACCAUUAUGGUGUCAUGUGCCUAUGUCCAGAGGAUUUAUGCAAGGCACAGACUAAAGGUUCUGCCUCCCCAGGGGGAUCCUGAGCAGAAUUCAAGGCACCCACCCCCAGCCCUCAUCACUGAACAAGGAGCCCUUAUCACAGACUUUGACAUCUUUCUCAGUCUCCUGGAUACCAUGGGCAUCCCUCCUCCCUCAUGUAUCUUGGCACCCCAUCACCCAAACUGUCCUUUACAGGUUUGAUCAUCUCUAGAAAGCUAUGGAAAUCUCACCAUGGACAUCAGGUCAUACAGAGUGUCCCUGUCUCCUAGCAUGGGCAGGAGACUAGAGAACACAGCAUGUUGAACGUCCUUUGAAAGCAUGGCCAGUAACCCUGUUUUCUCAGAAAUCUCAUUUUGUAGAUGCUGGAAAUCUGCUCACAGACAGAAACACGAAUCAGAAAGUAAGAGCAAUUGUGCAGUUAAAUAUUCCCGACAUGGCAAGCCCUUACCUGCAGUACCAUUUCCAGUGGCUACAGGCAUACCCUUCCUGGGCCCCAGUGACGCAAAUAUCAUGAAGCUAACAGUACUAGACAGUAAGCAGCUGCAGAGCUCUGGAAAGAGGGGGCACAGCCCUGGGAGUGCAGAUGGGAUUCCUGAAAACUGCUUAGCACAGGUGGGAGGAAAGUGUUCAUUCUGGGAUGUCAGGAAGGAAGUGUCCUGUUGGACCCCAGAGAUGGCAGCACUCAGCAAUUCCCAAUCAGUUUCCAAGAAUGACAAAUGGGGACAUGAUGAGGGGUCAUGGACUUUGUGUGUCAGGCACCUGGCACUUAAGAGAGUGUCUUAUUAGUAAGAAUCUCUACUGUCUAUGGAGAAAUAGCCAAACAUUGUGUUUUGGGAAACCCUGAUUCUUGCCAAGUGUCCUCUAGGUGAUCUGUGAGUGAGAGAGAGACCAUAGUGGAAGCUCAGAGGCAUGGACACUCUCAUCUGAUUAUUUCACAUUGCCCUCGCUGGAGUGCUGCCUGCUUCCUGGUAAAUCCUCAACGAAACAUUAGUGCAGACAGUUGAUGUGUGAGUCAAACUAACUAAAAAGGGGAAUAUAUUCUGGGUUCAAAAAAAAAGUUGUCAUAUGAGUUCCAAGCCUGGGGUUUCCUGAUCAUAGCCCAGCCCAUGUUCCCUUAAGAAAAAAAUAAAACAUACACACACACUACACACACACACACACACACACACACACACACACACACACACACAAACCCUCUCCCCCAAAAGAAAGAAACUCACCAUUAUGCAAGGGUUCAUCUAACCUUCCUAGAAAAGAAGAACACACGUAGGAGAUUCCCUCUCCUGCUUCUCCUCCUGCCCCAUCCAGUCUUCCAUGACCUUUACCCUCCCGCAGGAACCAGAGCCAGGGAUAGGGGGGGCACAGUAAGAUGGCCCAGAUCUCCAUAACAACCCCAUCAGACACAUACUCACCAAUUGGAGAGAUGUUAUUUAUCUCACAAACUAGAAAGAGAAAAUACAUUGCCCGCCCAAGAAUUAGUAUUUGACAUUGCUUCUGGUAUAGCCCAGAAAUUUCUCAAUCCUCCACCCUGACCCUUUGUGCAGAAGACCAGAUCUGUAGACCUUGGGUAGGGGCAGUCAGGUGGGUUUUUGUUAUUUGGUUGUCACCAUGAAGGAGCAAGUUUGACUUUCAAGACACAGAAGCAUUCACUCACCUAGCAAUCCUCUAGUCUGUGGGACUGCAGAGAGAAAGAGAAGGGUUCACUCACCAAGACUCACUCUCUCCAUCCCUCCCCAUCUCUGACCUUCCCAACUCCUCCAUCCACCCUCUCUUUUCACGAUGCAAUUCCACUUUCACGAGAAAUUCCCUAUGAUAAAUCCAUCGCCAGGUAGAUCCUGUGCAACAAAGCAAAUGUCUGUCCAUCCUUCCAGAUCUAACACUCAUAGCUGGGGCAACAGAAACACUUGGGAACCCAGGGAACAUACCUGGGAAGGUUUUCUUCUUGGAGUUAUCAAAAGGGAGAAUGGCUGAAUGAAAAAGAAACUGGGUUAGAAGAGAUGAAGUUACACCUGCUAUUGUAGUCUCCACUCCCCAUUUCAGGACUCUCAGGCCAAACCCCAGGGAAGAUGUCAACCUAGACACUAGCCUCUGUGACCUGUGAACCAGGGUUUCACAGUUAUUGAAUUACGUGUGUGUGUGUGUGUGUGUGUGUGUGUGUGUGUGCUAACAGCACAUGCAGAGGUCAGAGGACCACACAGGGAAUCAGUUAUCUCCUUCCAUCAUGUGGGACCUGUGGGUGGAGCUCAAGGCAUCAGGCCUGGGGACAGCACCUUUACCAGCCAAUCCCUCCCACCAGCCUGAAACCUGCAUUCCCAAUAGGCAUCCAGGUGACCAUCAAGUCCUCUGACAUCCAAGAAUUCCCCAUGAGGGCAGGGAAGCCAGAUCAACAGUUAACAGACACUGCUGCUCUUGCAAAGGACAACACCCACAUGGCAGCGCCAUCUUCUGGCCUUCUUGGGGCAUCGCAUAUACACAGUACACUUAAUGCAGACUAAACAUUACUCAUAAAACAGGAAUGAACACAUAAACACUCCAUGAGGUAAGGCUGACCAGCUUCCUCCUGCCCUGUCCUAUCGGCUCCUUGUCAGCCUUCAGUUACCAGCUGUCCCCUCCUUAUCCACUCAUCUGGCAAUCCUGCAUUGUUUUGCAGUGUAUCCAGAGUAACAUGUGAACUAACAAAGUUAAACAAAAAGCAAACUUCAGAGUGUGUCUGCAAGUCACCUUCUGAGCACUAGGGGGCGAACAGGGCAUCUUGUCUACACAAUCAGGCACAGCAGGGAGGGACCCAGCUGGGACAGUGUGCUCACUGGCAAGCAGGAAUUUAGUCCUCAUCACAGACCAGAAAGGACUUAAUAAGGGAUGGCAAACCAUCUGUCCCCAAACUGUCUUCAGUCCUCAGGUUCACCAAGCUCUUUGCUUAACCAAACAACUCUCUGCAUCUUCAGCAGACCUCACCCCAGAAACCCCUCCCAUCAUCACCUCCUCUCUCACAUGCCCCCCUUUAUUCGGCUCCGCUAAGUACCCUCUAUAUGGGACAUCACAUUUCCCUUCCAUGCCACCUCAGCCUUUACAGUUUAUCUUCCAGGGAAAUCCCCUGGGUUUGGCCUCUACACAUGGCCUUGCUUCUCUGGGAACAACAUCUGAUCUAAUCAGAUCGGUAGAUUUGGUUUGCUUGUUUGCUAUCAAUGUUUAUAAUAAAGUGUUCACUUUCUUUCAUCAGUAAUGAACACUCUUUUCACUUAGCAUGAUCUGUAAUUGUAAGGGCAUCCCCCCGCCCCCAGGCAUUACAAAGGCAUCGGCAACCUUGAACCUAUUCCUCAUCCUAUGACUCUGUCAAAGAUGCCAAGAGAGUGUGGGCCAUCUUUCUCUAGAAGCCAUCAAUCACUAACUGUACUAUACUGUACCCAGUCCCCAACCUAUGACUCCGU